rnacentral:rRNA from 1 species
GAUCAUGGCUCGGGAUGAACGCUAGCUACAGGCUUAACACAUGCAAGUCGAGGGGCAGCAUGAACUUAGCUUGCUAAGUUUGAUGGCGACCGGCGCACGGGUGAGUAACACGUAUCCAACCUUCCGUUUACUCAGGGAUAGCCUUUCGAAAGAAAGAUUAAUACCUGAUAGUAUGGUGAGAUUGCAUGAUAGCACCAUUAAAGAUUUAUUGGUAAACGAUGGGAUGCGUUCCAG